UACGUAGGGUGCGAGCGUUAAUCGGAAUUACUGGGCGUAAAGCGUGCGCAGGCGGUUUCGCAAGUCAGAUGUGAAAGCCCCGGGCUCAACCUGGGAAUUGCAUUUGAAACUACGAGGCUAGAGUGUGUCAGAGGGGGGUAGAAUUCCACGUGUAGCAGUGAAAUGCGUAGAGAUGUGGAGGAAUACCGAUGGCGAAGGCAGCCCCCUGGGAUAACACUGACGCUCAUGCACGAAAGCGUGGGGAGCAAACAGG
rnacentral:rRNA from 1 species